rnacentral:lncRNA from 1 species
UGCAAUAUUAGUUUAAUUUUUUUUUUCUUUUCAGUAUUGGUUUUUCUUUGAUGAGUCAUCAUAAGAGGGCUUUGUUGUUUUGGUACUAGAAGGGUUCUCUUAAUUGAGGUACUCCUCUGUUCUUUAUUAAGUGUCUUUUUAAGGUUAAUCUUUUGUUUAACCGAUAAUGACUUUGGAGGACCAUUUAUAGUUAUGAUAUAUUGUUAUUACUGUUGGUUAAUUACAUGAUAUAAGUCCUUUAAAAAUGGUAUAAUUUGUCCGUGUCCCAUAUAGGCAGGCUUAUGUGAUAAGAAACAAAUUAAAUUUUCAGAAGUAAAUUCUUGUCCUUUUGAGUGAGAAGAAAAUGAGUUGAAACGAAUGGGCGGGGACAAAGCCUUGCUUGCAGUUGAUUUGGCAUCACCCUUUUUUUCUUUUAAUAAAUUGGUAAAUUUCAAGGUGAAUUUACCCUAAUUGAAAGAUUCAAGUCAAUUUGUAAAAACUUC